rnacentral:rRNA from 1 species
GACGAACGCUGGCGGCGUGCUUAACACAUGCAAGUCGAACGGUAAGGCCCUUCGGGGUACACGAGUGGCGAACGGGUGAGUAACACGUGGGAGAUCUGCCCUGCACUUCGGGAUAAGCCUGGGAAACAGGGUCUAAUACCGGAUAGGACUACUGCCUGCAUGGGUGGUGGUGGAAAGCUUUUGCGGUGUGGGAUGGGCCCGCGGCCUAUCAGCUUGUUGGUGGGGUGAUGGCCUACCAAGGCGACGACGGGUAGCCGGCCUGAGAGGGUGACCGGCCACACUGGGACUGAGAUACGGCCCAGACUCCUACGGGAGGCAGCAGUGGGGAAUAUUGCACAAUGGGCGCAAGCCUGAUGCAGCGACGCCGCGUGAGGGAUGACGGCCUUCGGGUUGUAAACCUCUUUCAGCACCGACGAAGCGCAAGUGACGGUAGGUGCAGAAGAAGGACCGGCCAACUACGUGCCAGCCGCCGCGGUAA